ACGGAAGGCAGCAGUGGGGAAUAUUGGGCAAUGGGCGAAAGCCUGACCCAGCAACGCCGCGUGAAGGAAGAAGGUCUUCGGAUUGUAAACUUCUUUUAUAAGGGACGAAGAAAGUGACGGUACCAUAUGAAUAAGCCACGGCUAACUACGUGCCGGCAGCCGCGGUAAUACGUAGGUGGCAAGCGUUAUCCGGAUUUACUGGGUGUAAAGGGCGCGUAGGCGGGGAUGCAAGUCAGAUGUGAAAUCUAUGGGCUUAACUCAUAGACUGCAUUUGAAACUGUAUCUCUUGAGUGCUGGAGAGGUAGAUGGAAUUCCUUGUGUAGCGGUGAAAUGCGUAGACAUAAGGAAGAACACCAGUGGCGAAGGCGAUCUACUGGACAGUAACUGACGCUGAGGCGCGAAAGCGUGGGGAGCAAACAGAAUUAGAUACCCUGGUA
rnacentral:rRNA from 1 species